AACUUUCAACAACGGAUCUCUUGGUUCCCGCAUCGAUGAAGAACGCAGCGAAACGCGAUAGUUAAUGUGAAUUGCAGAAUUCAGUGAAUCAUCGAGUCUUUGAACGCACAUUGCGCCCAUUGGUAUUCCUUUGGGCAUGUCUGUUUGAGCGUCA
rnacentral:rRNA from 1 species